UGCUCUUCCCUAGGCAAGUUAAUAUUUAACAAGCACUUUGUCYCUGGACUUGGAUGCGGAUCAUCUGCAUCUUACAUAGCUGCCCUAGCUCCUGGACUACCAUCUUGCUGGGAAUCUGGUCUUGUCUUUCCUGUGUACUUUGAACCCAGCCCAGCUCAUAUCCGGAUG
rnacentral:lncRNA from 1 species